UACGGGGGGGAGCAAGCGUUGUUCGGAUUUACUGGGCGUAAAGGGCGCGUAGGCGGUCGUGACAAGUCACUUGUGAAAUCUCCGGGCUUAACUCGGAACGGUCAAGUGAUACUGUCGGACUAGAGUACAGAAGGGGCAACUGGAAUUCCUGGUGUAGAGGUGAAAAUUCGUAGAUAUUCGCAAGAACACCAGUGGCGAAGGCGGCUCACUGGCCCGAUACUGACGCUGAGGCACGAAAGCGUGGGGGAGCAAACAGG
rnacentral:rRNA from 1 species